rnacentral:miRNA from 10 species
CUAGCUCUAGCUGAUGUAGCAAA